AUUGCUUCCUAGCCAUUUUACUUAGAUCGAGUGUAGUAUAUGUCGUUAUCGGUGUAAUAUCUGAUAUGUUCUCUAUCCAAGGACAAUAUACUGAAUGGACUUUCGGAGCUGGGAGAUGGAAUAGGGGCUUGCUCUGUCCACUGCACUCACUGAGUUGGUGUUGCAUCGCCUCCAGGAAUGAUGCAUUCCCU
rnacentral:snRNA from 1 species